GACGGGCCAGACCAAUGCCCACAUAUGUCCGAGGAAAAUUAUGAGGGUUGUGUUAUUAUUGUACAUGUGAUUGGAAUUGUGCCCCCUUCAUCUGUAAGGAAAGAGAUAGGAAACCUAAUCUCCUGGAUUUCGUCAAGUGGUGAUGGAUACACACAGACGCAAUCCAGCCGUCCAUCUCUGACUCUGUCAAAAAUUGCAAUUGAAGGUCCUAUACCAUGAGCAGAGGCGCACCCCAUGUAGUCCUCGACUCCUACUUCUUCUUGCAAGCCACCAUAAUCAUCUAUUACUGGCUCUUCAAAGUUCAAACACUGAUAAUAAAGCUGUUCUUAGAGAAGAUGAUGGUGUCAAUCCAGGAUUAUCAAUAGCCUUAAGGAAGUUGAGAUCAGCCAUGUCUAAAAAGUGUCUGUUGCAGUUCUUGCUGUUCGCAAAUGCCGAGUAGAUUUUUUUGGCCAUCUCCCGCAGCUUCUCUCCUCCUUUCAUUUCAUGUGUGUUCAGAGUAGCAGAGUGAUAAAAUCCUGGCCAGAAGCAAUAAUUUGGGUGGUAGUGUAAGAGUGUGUUUAGUAUUGAGGUUGCUGUUGUGGUUGUGGUUUUAAAAAAGUUAUUUUAUAAAAAGUACUUUUAGUU